UACGAAGGGUGCAAGCGUUAAUCGGAAUUACUGGGCGUAAAGCGUGCGCAGGCGGUUUUGUAAGACAGGCGUGAAAUCCCCGGGCUUAACCUGGGAAUGGCGCUUGUGACUGCAAAGCUGGAGUGCGGCAGAGGGGGAUGGAAUUCCGCGUGUAGCAGUGAAAUGCGUAGAUAUGCGGAGGAACACCAAUGGCGAAGGCAAUCCCCUGGGCCUGUACUGACGCUCAUGCACGAAAGCGUGGGGAGCAAACAGG
rnacentral:rRNA from 1 species